AUGACCAUGGGGGCGGAGCGCGAGGCCGGCGAGGAGGAGGAGUCGCGGCGCCCACUUCUCCCAUCCUCUCCGUCGCCAGCGGCGGAGCACCAGCAGCAGUACCAGCACCUGGGGCGGAGCAGCUCGUCGGCGCUGCGCGGGGGCGGAGGAGGGUGGGGCGGCGGGGGCGCGGAGGUCAGCGCGGCUGAGGUCAGGUCCGCCGCCUCCUUCUCCUCCUCCUCCUCCAACUACUAUCCCUCGGCGCCCAGUCCCCACCACGACGCCGUCGUCUACCCCCCGUCCAUCCACAGCGCCGUCCUCUCCCCGUCCCCGUCGUCUGCUGCCACUCCUCAGCAUGCGCAUGCACAAGGUUUGGCGAUUGUUCCUCAAGGGCCGUACGGUGGUGAUUACCAGCCUUCUCAGUCUCAGGGCGUUAGGAGGGAUGUACUGGAUGAGGUGGAGAUCCGGCAUCUGCUAAUUGAACAUGUUGGACAUCGAUGUUGUUGGGGAAGCCGGCCUGCUCGCACAUGGAAAAUUACAUCCAUCGAGGACUGCAAUGUAUAUGUUGGAACCUUGGAAACCUUUAUCGAGGAAAGAGACACAAUAUUAAAGAAGGAACCAUACGAUGGUGGGAAAAUAGAUGGAAGAGACAAGGGUCCUGUUCUUGGUGUGUGGGAACUAGAUUUGAGGUCCGAGUUUCCAAUGCUCUUUGUACCGGAGAAAGAAGUAAUGGUCAAGAUUCCUCAUUCAGAAAUUACUGAAAAAUGCUUAGAUUGUGAGGGUCGUGGAGAGGCGCCAUGUCCUACUUGCAAUGCUGGUCAGCAGCACGGGUUUUACAAGGCAAAUCAAAUGACUCGGUGCAGUGUAUGUCAUGGCAGGGGUUUGCUCGCUCACCAAGAUGGAUCUGAUUCAGUAUGUGGGAUGUGCAAUGGUCAAGGAAUGUUGCCCUGCAUAGCAUGUGCAUCCCGGGGCCUAGUGACAUGCCAGACAUGUAAUGGCUGCGGUUCCCUUCUUGCACAAAGCACUGCUCAUGUUCGAUGGAAGACGCUUACAGCGAGAAAAGUUAGUGCAACAACAGGAGCUGCUUCGGUCCCUGACGAAGUUUUCCACAGAGCGCAAGGGGUGCAACUAUGCAACAUACAGGCAUACCAAUGCACUCCAGCUUUCUUUGCCGAUUCAUACCCACUCAACCAGUUCUCGUCGGAGAUUGUCGCUAGCCGGCUGCCAGUUCCACCAUCCGCAAGAGUAAUUUCGGAGAGACACAUCAUCUCGGUCGUGCCUGUGACCCGUGUCACAAUGUCUCACCGUAAGCGGUCUUUUAGCUUCUAUGUCGUCGGCUAUGGCAGGGAUGUUUUCAUACGGGACUAUCCUUCGAAGUUCUGCUGGGGCCUUUGCCGUUGCUUCGAAUGGUUGGGGAACUAG
rnacentral:rRNA from 1 species